CCUACGGGCGGCAGCAGGGGGGAAUAUUGGACAAUGGGGGGAACCCUGAUCCAGCCAUGCCGCGUGUGUGAAGAAGGCCCUCGGGGUGUAAAGCACUUUCAGUGAGGAAGAACGCCUGGUGGUUAAUACCCAUCAGGAAAGACAUCACUCACAGAAGAAGCACCGGCUAACUCCGUGUCAGCAGCCGCGGGAAUACGGAGGGUGCGAGCGUUAAUCGGAAUUACUGGGCGUAAAGCGCGCGUAGGUGGCUUGAUAAGCCGGUUGUGAAAGCCCCGGGCUCAACCUGGGAACGGCAUCCGGAACUGUCAAGCUAGAGUGCAGGAGAGGAAGGUAGAAUUCCCGGUGUAGCGGUGAAAUGCGUAGAGAUCGGGAGGAAUACCAGUGGCGAAGGCGGCCUUCUGGACUGACACUGACACUGAGGUGCGAAAGCGUGGGUAGCAAACAGGAUUAGAUACCCUUGUAGUC
rnacentral:rRNA from 1 species